CCCACCAAUGUGAUCGGCUGAAUCCUACGUUACAUCUCCCUCCUCUAAUCACAUGCCAGAUCCGUUACCCCGCUUUGUUCCGGGACCUCGAAAUUUACAAAUUAAGCACUGACUGAGAGUAUACAGUCAGGUCCAGAAGUAUUCUGACACUGACUGAGUUUUUGUGCUUUUGCCUUUAAACACCACUUUAAUGGAUUUGAAAUAAAACAACCAAGAUGUGAUUGAAGUGCAGACUUUGAGCUUUAUUUUAAGAGGUUCCACAAAAAUAUGACAUUUACCAUUUAGGAGUUACAGCCAUUUUAAGCAAAAUACCUCCAUUUUCAGGGGCUGAAUAGUAUUUGGACAAAGUGACAUAAUUGAAGAUAUGUACAAUUUUAAUACUUGGAUGAAAAUUAUUUGCAGUCAAUGACUGCCUAUAGUCUGGAACCCAUGGACAUCACCAAAUUCUGAGUUUCCUCCCUGGAGAUGCUUCUUCACUGCAGCCACCUUGAAUUGCUGCUUGUUUGUGGGUCUUUCUGCCUUCAGUCUUGUCUUCCGUAACUGAAAAGCAUGCUCUAGUCUAUUGGAUUGAGAUCAGGUGACUGACUUGGCCAUUGAAGAAUAUUCCAUUUCUUUGCCUUCAAAAAAUCUUGAGUUGCAUUCUCAGUAUGAUUAGGGUCAUUAUCCAUCUGCACUGUGAAGCUGCGUCCUAUUAGUUUUGUAGCAUUUGGCUGAAUGUGAGCAGAGAGUAUAGCCUUAAAGACCUCAGACCCCACCGUUCCAUUGGCAGCCAUACAUGCCCGUGCCAUAACACUGCCGUCACCAUGUUUCACACUUGAUGUGGUGUGCUUUGGAUCUUGAGCUGUUCCUUUCUUUCACCAUACUUUUCUCUUCCCAUCAGUUUGGUACAAGUUAAUCUUGGUUUCAUCAGUCCAAAUAAUCUUAUUCCAGAACAUGGGAGGCUUUUUUAGAUGUUUUCUGGCAAAGUCUAAACUUAAAUGUUACCAGUGGUUUGCACCUUCACAGUAAAAUCAGCAGUGUGCAGUGUUAAAAGUUAUUAAUUCCUAAAGAGUUGACUUAAUCUACAGUGUUAAACAGUACUCAUGUUCAGUGUUGUUACAUGGUGUAAUAUUUAUGUAAUUUCACUUUUACACUGAAAGUGUUAAAAAAAAAAAAAAAAAAAGCCAAAUUUAUCUGACUCCGCCCUUCAAGGACUCGCAAAGCGACAACACCAUUUUAUCUUCAUGCGACCGAGACGGUUUACAGUGUUAAGUUCGUGAGGUGUAGAGAUGCAACGUUAGCCUGUGUGAAAGUUUCUAAUGCGGGUUCGAUUUCCUGAAAUAAGAUCCUCUCGCCUUCAUUCUGGCACUGAAGAUGAGGUCCAAGCAGCCACAUUUGGGCGGUUUUCUACUCAGAGGAGAGAAUUCAUCAAAUGUUAAAUUUAUAUUUGUUUUUGAAAGCAUUGAGCAUUUACGCGCUAGAAAUUUCGUUUUUGUGACACAUAACACUGUGUUGAAGUGUCGUGUCAAGUCUUUCUGCAGACGGAGCUGGUAUAACGCAGAACAUUUACCAGUCAUUUAAUUGGCGUUAUCUAAUGCAAAACUGUGAAAUUAGAGUGCAUUUAAAAACUUUGUUCGCCCUAGGCUUAAGUGUGAAUUGCAUAAUCUGUACGACGCUUGUUCUCGGCGCUGAAUAUCAUGUCUGUUAUGUCGUCAUAUCUGCGUCAAGAACUGACAAGUUACGCAAUAGAGUUCAUUAUCGCAGAUGAAUCGCCUUCGAUAAUGAACUUGAUAUUGCGUAGCUUGACAGUGAUCUACGGCUCUGUGUAUUAAAUGCCGCUCCUUUUGAAAGCAGGCGAUGGAGAUUUACCGCUAAUCACGUAACCGGCUUUACUGACGAGAUGCGCAUGACAAUCGCGUUCGAUAUAUCACCCAGCCCUAGAAUAAUCACAUCAGUAUUUUAUUCCAAGGUUGUACAAUUGCCAGAUCUUGUAUGAAACGCAUCACCUCACAAUCGACACAAUACACAAAUUUCAAACCAUUUGUGACCUCAACCUGGCAACCAACAACUCAGUUGCGAUGUAGAUUUCUGUACAAGUAGUAGACGUGGGAAGUUGAAUCGACCAUCAGUGGUAGAAAUGAAAGGAGAAGAGUCAGGUGACGCUCCAGCGAAGAAAAAAAUAUUUGUGUAAAUUUAACUACAGCUGGACUGAAGAAUUUUAUUUCUUGUCUCGAAGUCAUGUAAACAACGCCCACGCCUUUUGCAAAGUGUGUCGGACUAAUUUUUAAUCGAGCGGUUUAGUACAAGUUUUCUGAAGAGAUUGCUUUAUACAAUUAACAGUUCGAAUUAUUUUUUUUUAAAUUUUUGUUUUCACAUUUAAACAUUGAUCGGGGAUCAUAAACAGAAAAUUUGGACUAAACCACAUGACACAUAUGGAUUAGUUCUCUUUAUGGAUUAGAUCGCUUUAUGAAGUUUAUUAAGUAUCAAAGUGGUAGUUGCGUGGAUCGUCAAUCAAGGGACAGAAAUCUUAUAUUCUAUUAAAAUAUCUUCAGUUGCGUUUCAAAGAUAACGAAAGUUUUGGUUGAGUAAACGAUGGAAUUUUCAUUUUUGAACUAAUCCUGUAAUAAAAGAAUGUGGCCAUAUGCGUCUUGUGUUUGUUCACUUGUGCAUCACUCAAGAUGCAUGCUAAUGCCAGGUGUGAAUAGAGCCGCUGUGUGACUACACAAUCAACUUAGCAGAAUGGUUCCUGAGAGAGAUUGUUAUUAUUUUUUCUAAGAAGCCAAGUUCCUGGCUUUUCCCAAGACUUUCAAGCAGACGAUUGACCUCGGAAUCAGCUGUAAAGGAGGAUGAAACCGAUGUUUAAGAUCCACCAUCACCACAAGGGACCGGGAAAAAUGUCCUCCUAUCAAGCUGAAAAACAUCUUCAAAAAGGCACUAAGAAGAAUACCUUGUAGAGACCACACAGCCAUACCUGCUCGCUGACAAGACAACGAGGAACAGCAUUCAUGGAUGCUACGUGUGGCGAAGUGACGUCGUGCAACAGAAACAAUGGAGAGAUGACGCCACCCUAAGACUUGCACCCAGGGAAAUACUACGCACCUACAGGUGCUACUCAAGGAAACAGGUCUGAUUCUACUGCAGGAGCAAGAGACUUGACUUACAAAAAUAAAACCUUUGACAGAAAUCAUUAAUCCUCAAACAUGCUGGAGAAUGGUCUCAUCAACAGUUUACCAAUUAAAUACCCACAGGUUACAAAGAGACCAUAACAAACCUUACUUGGACAGAAGGGACAAGCCCCACAGCAAAUCAGUGCAUUCAAAUUCAUAAAGCAAGUGACAAACCAAAAAGAAAAGAAACUACAACAAAAGAACCAAAAUACACUGUCCCCUUCUGUCAAGAUUCAGUAUCACAGCUCUUUAAACAUUCACCGGUGGAUAUAAAUGCACAGUCAUACAGAUCGAUUGAACAAUAGUCUUACAAACACUCAGAGGGGCCACGGUCCAACACCAUGAUGGCCACACAGUCAGUUGCAUGCACAGUACAAUGAAACUGUAAGAUCAGACAGUAUAUGAAAGCAACCAUAUGAACAGCAGUAGAUGAAGCCGGUGUAGGAAACAACCGUAGAUACAGGGUUAUGAAACAACAGCUAGCGCUCUCAGGCCACACCUAAAAUACAAAUAUAAAAACAUAAAUAGACAUCUACUUUAAACAACCCUCCCCCCCCUUCACAAGAAAGGAAACCCACAGUAAAAAGUUUCUUACCUCAUUCGUAGACAACAGUAAGCUUUAUGCUACCUGCGCUCAUCACUUCGUACACACACACAUCCCUAAUAACAAACAUUUAGAAUAUAAAACUGCAAGGAACAGCAAAUCAGGCAACUUACCAGGGGAACGCGACAGGACAUAUAAACACCUGGACCUUUACGGCCCACAAGACUGGAACCCAUAGCGGAAUGACCAUGCCACACUUCAACUUGCUUCUUAUGAAGCCUCUGGGCCUCCACUAAAACGCACCUCAAUGAUUGAGCCGCCAGGUGUAAUCAAUGACAAAAAUGCCACUCAACGCCAGUGGGCAUGUCUUCCCAGCUGAAAUACGCAAAGAUUAAAAUGGAAACGGAUUCUAAUGAAUCCACAAACCAUAAUAAAACUCAUCCUGUCACAUACGCAACUGUUGACAAGUAUCUUGCUGCAAUCUUGUUCAAGUCUACCUGUCAUAUUUGUUAAUGUCUAGGUAAAUUUGAUGAUUUUAUGUGUUUUAUUAACUAUUUUAUGUUUCUGUGCAACACUUAAUGAAUGUGACUGACUAAUUAACCUCUACACAUCUGGUAUAUGCUUUAAAGUUGCCACUUUGACCAUUUGUUAAAUAAACGUUGGAAUUUGUA